AAAAAUCAAAGCGCCUCUUUGGAGUUCAUUAGCUGUAUGUUAAUUGCCUUGAGUCCUUCUGCUGACAACAGCCCACAACCAUCUAGAAAACAUGAUUUCUACAAAGUCUUGAUCCUGGAAUGGAGCACACAGCCCCUUCUCCCCAGGCCAUGAUACUGCUGGUGGUGCAGAACGGAGUUUAGACAAGGAGGUGCAUGGCCGAGAGCAAUCUGGAAACGAUCAGAGAGGCCAGUUGCGUAAUGAUGGAGAAGCCGCUGUUUUGCAGCCACGAAAAUCAUGCCUGGAGAGAGAAUGUUCCGGGAUGUGAAAUUAUUCACAAUCUAUUGUUCAAAGAAGACAGUUGAUUAUGGGACGGAAGCACCCACCCUGGAGCCAUGGUCCACGCCUUCCUCAUUCACACCUUGAGGGCCCCGAAUACUGAGGACACGGGCCUUUGCCGAGUGCUGUACUCCUGCGUCUUCGGUGCUGAGAAGUCACCUGAUGACCCACGGCCGCAUGGUGCCGAGAGGGACAGGCUUCUCCGGAAGGAACAGAUUUUAGCUGUGGCCAGGCAGGUAGAGUC
ensembl:lncRNA novel transcript